UACGUAGGGGGCAAGCGUUGUCCGGAUUUAUUGGGCGUAAAGAGCUCGUAGGCGGUUCAGCAAGUCGGGUGUGAAACCUCCAGGCUCAACCUGGAGACGCCACCCGAUACUGCUGUGACUUGAGUCCGGUAGGGGACCACGGAAUUCCUGGUGUAGCGGUGAAAUGCGCAGAUAUCAGGAGGAACACCAAUGGCGAAGGCAGCUCGCUGGAACGGUACUGACGCUGAGGCGCGAAAGCGUGGGGAGCAAACAGG
rnacentral:rRNA from 1 species